AUUGAACGCUGGCGGCAUGCCUUACACAUGCAAGUCGAACGGCAGCGCGCUAUCGGGUGUCGCCGAGGGGCGAACGGGGGCGUACUACAUCGGAAUGCGUCCGAACCUGGGGGUUAAUGGGGCGUAAGCUUUGGAAAUAUACCAUACGACCUCCGACGGCAAGCGGGGGAAAGCAAGGGCUCUUGCGGCCUUGGCGGCCUAAGUGAGCCGAUGUCGGAUUAGCUAGUUGGUGGGGUAAAGGCGUACCAAGGCGACGAUCCGUAGCUGGUCUGAGAGGAUGAUCAGCCACACUGGAACUGAGACACGGCCCAGACUCCUACGGGAGGCAGCAGUGGGGAAUAUUGGACAAUGGGCGCAAGCCUGAUCCAGCCAUACCGCGUGGGUGAUGAAGGCCUUCGGGUUGUAAAGCGCUUUUGUAGGGAACGAAAAGCAGUAGGUUAAUACCGCGGUGUCAUGACGGUACCCAAAGAAUAAGCACCGGCUAACUACGUG
rnacentral:rRNA from 1 species